UAUAUAUAAGGUGCCAUUGGUGACGCAACUAUGCUCUGUUCUCAAAUCAUUAUCAUUUCAUGACAUUAAUUAACCUCAAACUACAGUUUUCCCAACGGGACUUGAGGAAUUGGGUAGGAACCAUAGAGGUUGAAAGAUGCCAUAAUGGCACAGAUGAGUCCUCUAUCUCUAUGGUAGUAACUGUAAAAUGAGUCCUCUAUCUAUCUCUAUGGUAGUAACUGUAAGAUCAAAUGCAUUACUGUACUGUGAAAGGUCUAGUCAGGGCAUAACCAGGUCUAGUCAGGGCAUAACCAGGUCUAGUCAGGGCGUAACAAGGUCUAGUCAGGGCGUAACAAGGUCUAGUCAGGGCGUAACCAGGUCUAGUCAGGGCGUAACCAGGUCUAGCCAGGGCGUAACCAGGUCUAGCCAGGGCGUAACCAGGUCUAGCCAGGGUAUAUUACAAACCAUUUGUUUUAGUUUGUUUUGUAUCUUAUUAUAUUCCAAACCUCCGUGUAGAUUCAGCUUUGUUUGGUUGCUUUUAAGCUUGCCUCUUCUAAACCAUUGUAAGCUGUUAUUUUCUCUCCUGUUUCAUUAAUCUUUCCUCAAUUUCUUUCCCCCUCAGCAUUCAGCACAUGUGAAACUGCCAAGAUUGUCUUUUAUACAAAUGUGAAACAUGCCUUUUUCUACAUUUUAGGGUUGGAAGAUUCCUGAAAUUAUGAAGGAACAGAAAGGAAAUCUGGGAAUCCUCCAACCAGGAAUUCUGGAAUUUGGGGAAAUUUUCCAGACAUGUGCAACCCAACUACAUUAGUAGUCAUGUCAGGAGUUGAAUGUUUACAUCUACUGUAAAUAAAGAUCAAAUGUUACUAGCUACUA